GCGAUCUUGAACUGUACACAGUGGCGUUUGUUGAUUCGCUGCUUCGUCGGUCGGGUUAAUUCUGCUUUUGCCCCGCACGAAACCAAAUCAACGCUUUUGUCACCGAACGCUUAACAAUGGGAAGGCUGAAUAAGGUAAACAUCCGCUGUCCCUAGGACGUGACAGCAAGAAAAGCGCAUGUUCUUACACGAUCUGACGGAUAACGCGGAGGGCAAAUUCUUUAGAUUGUGGUAGGAAUAAAGGAUGGCGAAAGUUAAUGUUUCCUCGAAAGUGGUAGUAAAGGACAUCGCCUCUAACAUAAAGGUCUGGACUACAUGAUCCGAUGGUGAGGAGCUCAGUUAAUACCUCACGCAUGGCUCAGGGUACUUUUCAAAGCUAUCUUCACGAAAUUGGUAAGACUCUAUUGGACAUCUGUGUUUUCUACACUGCGACCCUGGAAGCUAGGGCACACCACACGCUGGCGAUAUAUGCGGGGCGUUUAUCAACACUAGAGAAAGUCGAUUAAAGAAAUGAUACUGACCUUAGCAAGCGGCAUGAAAGGAAUCGCAUCCAGGCUCGGAUUUGAAUUCAAACCACUACGAGCUUCGUAAUUAAUCGCAGACAGUCACGCUACCCAUUAGUCCAUUAUCAGAGCUACGUCCAACAAACUUGGCAGUACUGAACAUGAACGGACGAUCCUGCCUCCGCCGUUGCCAGUGUACAUAUUCGCUGUUUACAUCAGACAUGAGUUUAGAUGCUAGCGUAAAUUCCUUAUACAGCGCAAUUCAUCUAUAUUAUGCUAUUUAUAGAAAAGUACGUACGUUUACUACGUUUAUACACAGUAAUCCAGUAGCGUACACAAUUACGCUACAUGCAGCUACUUUUCGUUUGUAACGCAUCAAUUUGCAAAUACAGUAAAUAGCAUUUUGUCAAACGCGGACGAAAUUACGCUGUUUUUGAGAUACGAACAAAAAAGCGAACAAACGCUGUGAAGGUCUUAAGAUAUCGUUGCAUUUUUGGCAUUGUAAUUCUGUUAGUGGUCAAUGAAAUAAAAGCACCAGAAUGAAAUUUGUAAGUUAGUAACUCUACUAGAAUAGUACAAAAUAAAAAAAGCGACUUUGUUAUUUGUUCAUACAUUGUUAUU